rnacentral:lncRNA from 1 species
GUAGGCUUAGAACGACUUUCUUUCUAACGCCAAGUUCACAUUUUCCCGGUCUUUUUGGAUGCAACCCGGAUUCCUUUAAUAAGUUAUCGAAAAAUCUACCAAGUUCACGUUUUCUUGGUCUUUUUUAUUGAACAUAACAGUGAGCGCUAAUAUAAGUCCGGAAAGAGGAAUGAAAAAGCAAGAGGAGAGAAGUAGCUCGACCAAUCCAUAAUAGAGGAG